AGUUGACCAGCAUAAACCAGCUCAAACCAGCUUCAAUACCUACCUUACCAGCAUAUGCUGUUUUUUCAGCAGGGUUUAUUAAGGUAAAAACAGAACAUCGUUCAGAUUUGCCUUCAAUUAACAUGAAGGAAUAAAGCAUUAGCCAGUCAAUCUUUAUAGUUAAUAGGUUGUUGGUUUUGUCAACCUAGCUAGUCAAAUGUGUUUUGCAAAUCUGCUAUCUAGGACUGGGUGAUAUGAUGGCUAUACCGUGGUAAUGAUAUAAAGUGAGAAUCGAUUUAACCUUUAAAACAUAUCCUUUAUAUAUCACGAUAUGCAAAUAUACCCGUGAAGCUUUUAGUAGGCAGGAGUUAUUGACACGUUAGAGCGAUUAGGAACAUGGAUGAAUGAGUAAUAAAGAGCGGCACGUGCUUGAUGUUAAAAGUGCAAUAUGACAAGAAAGAACAGUGGCGUGCGGUCCAUAUAAGCUGCGAAUGCUCUGCAUUCCCAAGCUGUUCAUGGUGCGUAAUUUAUUCAUUUGCUAAACAACGGUCAUUUUCAUAAAAUCUGCCAGUUAUGGAGACUUCCAGGUAAGCUGGUCUACAGCAGCUUUUGCGCCUUCGCGCUUUUGUUAUGGAACGUAAUCAUUGGUUUGCUGGCCUAUGGAGGAUUUGAUGGGCAGAUAAGCUGUGAGCGGAUCGUAAAAGUCAUCAGUUUGCAUAAUUUCAACUUAUUUUUUAAAGAAUACUGAUAUUUUUAUUUAUUAUAGCCUACUUAUUUAUUAUGUCUAAUAUGUCAAAAAUGCUAAAUGUUUCUUGUCUCGUCAUAUUCCGUUAUGAAUUACAUGAAUCAUACCAUAUUAAUCAAAUAAUAGCAUGUUUUCAAUUCAUACAAAUGUUGUGUAAUAGGCUGCUAAGGUUUGGUGAUGAUGAAUGGAGUGAGGACUCAAUUGCAGUAAGGAUGGGUUUUAUUUAAUAUAUAAAAAUAAAACAAAAACAAACAAAACUACCCCGAGGCACUAGACUUGACUGGGAAGCAACACACAAGGUAACAUUCAACGAACGAUCCAGCACAGGACUGCAAACACAAGGAGAAUAAAUAGGAGAGCAAACAAGGCAGGUAAGAAGGGAGGACAGGUGGGGCAAAUAAACCAAUAAUCAGGUAGCAAGAUGGACGGGGUCAAGACAAUAGACAUGAGAGCAUAUGGCACAAAGAAACACAUGACAAGCCAUGUGCUCACACCAAACAUGACAAAAACACACGCACAUGGCCAGUGAAAACAAAUCACCAGCCAUGUGCUUAUACAAAACAAGACAUGAACAAGCAACUAUGAGAACUCACAGACUGCGUGUUCACGCACAAGAGCACCUGGCCAAUAACAACCAACCAGGCAGGCGCUCACAAAUCCCGACACGAAACCGAAAUUAAACUAGACGUGAGUACCAUGUCUAGUGUUUUUUUAAUGGGGUUUUGGUUAAAUGGCUGAAAUAAGGUCCGUGGUUAACACAAACUCAAGAUACUUUCGCAUUUUAUUCUAUGAGAUUUCUUUAUGCUGUUACAUGUCUUGAAAAAGACGGUUGCUAACAAGUGGCUAAAAGGGACUACAGAGGCAUUCGGGGACAUUAAACAUCAUCACGCUGAACAGGUAACCUCAGUCCGCUUUUAUAGCCUAGUUAUGCUUAUUGCGCUCUUACAAACAAUUCUAGUUUAAACUUUAUUGGUAAAAUGUUUUUAGAUAAAGUAUAAAAGAGUUGGCAGAGGCUUAGUGGUGGUGAAGUUGAAAUCAUGGUACCGUGGUGUAGUUAGUUUAUAGCCUACCUUUACCUUUUUGCGUCUGGUGACUGCAUUUAGGCUUCAAAAGUCUUAAAAGUUGUGUUCUUGAUUGACAAAACGUGUAAUGCUGGGUACACACUAACAGAUUUUUAAAAUCUUAGAAGAUUUUCAAAAUGUGAGAGACCACAAACAUGAGGACCAAAAAAAUCCUAGAUUUAACCGUUUUGCUCCUAUAGUGUGUGGUGUGCCAUGAUGUGACAAAGACAGCACACCACACACCAAAAGAUUUUCAACCAGAGUCCCGACUGUGAACACGGGAAAUCUCGCAUAAUCUCUCGAGACUUCAGAAUAAACAUGACGGACGUUGCAGGAAGAAAUUGUGCGUUUGUCCUCAGGGUUCCCCCCACACAUCAGGAUUUCUGAUCGUAAAUAUUCAACAUGUUGGAUAUUUACGAUUCACGAUCAGGGCACCUCCGAAGUUCUUCAGAGCGGAUUCACUCUUAACACACCUCACACCACAGGAAAAUCUGAUAAGAUAAUCUGUAGAACCAUCAAGAUAAUCGGGACAUUACCUAAGAUUGUCGGAAGGGGAGAAAUCGACCCAAAAUCAGCCCGAUUAUCUUGUGGUGUGUACCCAGCAUAACUAUAAACUUUUGUUGAUCACAGAGCUUAUUUUUUGCGAUAAUCCAAAAGCCUAUAGGAAAAUCCUAUUGGGUUUUUAUUGAGGGAACCAGUGAGAUGCUAACUGCCAAUUGGCCUACAAAGUGACGUUAUAGUUCCACCACUCUAAUUAAUGAAAAUGUAAAAGAAUCCAUGAGAAGCCAAGUUUUUAAAAAAAAAAAGCUUGUAAAAAUACAAUCUUAAUGUCACAUCAUACAGUCAGGAAAAGCGAAACAGGACCAAAGGGAGAAGGACCUGGAUAAAAGAGCGGAGGAACUGGACAAAAGGGAGAAGGAACUGGAUAAAAGAGCGGAGGAACUGGACAAAAGGGAGAAGGCACUGGAUAAAAGAUUGGUGGAACGGGACAAAAGGGAGAAGGCACUGGAUAAAAGAUCGGUGGAACGGAACAAAAGGGAGAAUGAACUGGAUAAAAGAUCGGUGGAACAGGACAAAAGAGAGAAGGAACUGGAUAAUAGAUCGGUGGAAUGGAACAAAAGGGAGAAGGACCUGGAUAAAAGAGCGGAGGAACUGGACAAAAGGGAGCAGGAACUGGAUAAAAGAGUGGAGGAACUGGACAAAAGGGAGCAGGAACUGGAUAAAAGAGUGGAGGAACUGGACAAAAGGGCAACGAAGGCUGGAGCAGUGAGUUCUUUGCAACACAACAGCCAAGAACAGACGAAGAAUGAUGAUCCCACUGGUCGAAGACUAUACUGUUGCUGCUGACCAUUUAAACUGUUACCUGUGGCUGGAGUUUGGAUUUCCCUGGGUUACCGUUCGCCUCUCUGGACUGCAUUGUUGCCAUGAACGCCUGCCUGAUUCUGAUCAUGAGUUGGGAUUUCCCUGUUGGCUCUGUUUGCCCCUCGCCUGACCAUCCUGUCUGUCUGACAUUGAUUCUCGUCUCACGAUUCGGAUUUGAUUGCCCUGGACUCUGACCCCUGCCUGCAUGACCAUUCUCCUCUCUACUGUGCAGAACGGAUUUGGAGCCGUGCGGCUCGAAAUAGUAGAUUGCGCGCACGUUUUAGUAAAUCGAGGGAACAAAGUAGUAAAUCAUGCCCACGGUUUAAAUGUUUUAUCUUGCAUGUUUUUACCUUGCAUGAUUGUGACAAUGUAUGUGUUUUUCAAGCUGUCUUGGGUUUUUUUAUAAUUUGAGUGUGUUUAUAAUGCAAUACUAAUUGACAUAGCCUAUCACAAUAUAGAAUACUAAUAAAAUAAUAUUUUCUCU